UACGUAGGGUGCAAGCGUUGUCCGGAAUUAUUGGGCGUAAAGGGCGCGUAGGCGGCCUGGCAAGUGGAAGGUGAAAUCCCUCGGCUUAACCGAGGAACUGCCUUCCAAACUGCUUGGCUUGAGUCCGGGAGAGGUGAGUGGAAUUCCCAGUGUAGCGGUGAAAUGCGUAGAUAUUGGGAGGAACACCAGUGGCGAAGGCGGCUCACUGGACCGGAACUGACGCUGAUGCGCGAAAGCGUGGGGAGCAAACAGG
rnacentral:rRNA from 1 species